GGAAACCUUCGGGGCAGGGUGAGAGAGAUCCUCGUAUCAAACGAAAAUCUCUCAAUUCCCGAUCGGCGGUUCAGCCCGCGAGCGCUUUCUAAGUGCUGUGUGAUAGUGCAUGAUCCGGUGGAAUUCCGGAGCCGACGGUAAAGUCCGGAUGAAAGAAGGUCCAA
rnacentral:ncRNA from 2 species